UAGCUUAGUUGGUAGAGUGCUUGCCUUGCAUGCACAAGGCCCUGGGUUCAAUCCCCAG
rnacentral:tRNA from 1 species